CUGUGAAACUGCGAAUGGCUCAUUAAAUCAGUUAUCGUUUAUUUGAUAGUACCUUACUACUUGGAUAACCGUGGUAAUUCUAGAGCUAAUACAUGCUAAAAACCCCGACUUCGGGAGGGGUGUAUUUAUUAGAUAAAAAACCAAUGCCCUUCGGGGCUCCUUGGUGAAUCAUGAUAACUUAACGAAUCGCAUGCCUUGCGCCGGCGAUGGUUCAUUCAAAUUUCUGCCCUAUCAACUUUCGAUGGUAGGAUAGUGGCCUACCAUGGUAUCAACGGGUAACGGGGAAUUAGGGUUCUAUUCCGGAGAGGGAGCCUGAGAAACGGCUACCACAUCCAAGGAAGGCAGCAGGCGCGCAAAUUACCCAAUCCCGACACGGGGAGGUAGUGACAAUAAAUACUGAUACAGGGCUCUUUUGGGUCUUGUAAUUGGAAUGAGUACAAUUUAAAUACCUUAACGAGGAACAAUUGGAGGGCAAGUCUGGUGCCAGCAGCCGCGGUAAUUCCAGCUCCAAUAGCGUAUAUUAAAGUUGUUGCAGUUAAAAAGCUCGUAGUUGAACCUUGGGCCUGGCUGGCCGGUCUGCCUCACCGCAUGUACUGGUUCGGCCGGGCCUUUCCUCCUGGGGAUCCGCAUGCCCUUCACUGGGUGUGUUGGGGAACCAGGACUUUUACUUUGAAAAAAUUAGAGUGUUCAAAGCAGGCCUUUGCUCGAAUACAUUAGCAUGGAAUAAUAGAAUAGGACGUGCGGUCCUAUUUUGUUGGUUUCUAGGACCGCCGUAAUGAUUAAUAGGGAUAGUCGGGGGCAUCAGUAUUCAGUUGUCAGAGGUGAAAUUCUUGGAUUUACUGAAGACUAACUACUGCGAAAGCAUUUGCCAAGGAUGUUUUCAUUAAUCAGUGAACGAAAGUUAGGGGAUCGAAGACGAUCAGAUACCGUCGUAGUCUUAACCGUAAACUAUGCCGACUAGGGAUCGGGCGAUGUUAUUCUUUUGACUCGCUCGGCACCUUACGAGAA
rnacentral:rRNA from 1 species